GUGGAGCGCGGGACCUGAACCGGUAGUAGCCAAACGAUGGGGUGACGCAGGAGGGUAGCUCCGCCAGCAGUUGGUGACUGGUGUAAGCGUGUAGGCUGGUUGACAGGCAAAUCCGUCAACCGUAUAGGCUGAGACGUGAUGCAUAGCCGAAUGAGGCGAAGUAGAGUGAUCCCAUGCUGCCGAGAAAAGCCUCUAGUGAGUUUCCACGCGGCCCGUACCCCAAACCGACACAGGUGGUCAGGUAGAGAAUACCGAGGCGCUCGGGUGAACUAUGGUUAAGGAACUCGGCAAAAUGCCCCCGUAACUUCGGGAGAAGGGGGGCCGCAGGAUUUGAAGCCCUUCGCGGGCUAGGGUCAGGCGGCCGCAGAGACCAGCGAGAAGCGACUGUUUACUAAAAACACAGGUCCGUGCGAAGUCGCAAGACGAUGUAUACGGACUGACGCCUGCCCGGUGCUGGAACGUUAAGAGGACCGGUUAGCCCGCAAGGGCGAAGCUGAGAAUUUAAGCGCCAGUAAACGGCGGUGGUAACUAUAACCAUCCUAAGGUAGCGAAAUUCCUUGUCGGGUAAGUUCCGACCUGCACGAAUGGCGUAACGACUUCUCGACUGUCUCAACCAUAGGCCCGGUGAAAUUGCACUACGAGUAAAGAUGCUCGUUACGCGCGGCAGGACGGAAAGACCCCGGGACCUUUACUAUAGCUUGGUAUUGGUGCUUGGUUCGGUUUGUGUAGGAUAGGUGGGAGACUGUGAAGUUCACACGCCAGUGUGGGUGGAGUCAUUGUUGAAAUACCACUCUGAUCGUACCGAGUGUCUAACUUCGGACCGUGAUCCGGUUCAGGGACAGUGCCUGGUGGGUAGUUUAACUGGGGCGGUUGCCUCCCAAAGGGUAACGGAGGCGCCCAAAGGUUCCCUCAGCCUGGUUGGCAAUCAGGUGUCGAGUGCAAGUGCACAAGGGAGCUUGACUGUGAGACAGACAUGUCGAGCAGGGACGAAAGUCGGGACUAGUGAUCCGGCGCUGGCUGGUGGAAGCGGCGUCGCUCAACGGAUAAAAGGUACCCCGGGGAUAACAGGCUGAUCUUGCCCAAGAGUCCAUAUCGACGGCAUGGUUUGGCACCUCGAUGUCGGCUCGUCGCAUCCUGGGGCUGGAGUAGGUCCCAAGGGUUGGGCUGUUCGCCCAUUAAAGCGGUACGCGAGCUGGGUUUAGAACGUCGUGAGACAGUUCGGUCCCUAUCCGCCGCGCGCGUUGGAGACUUGAGGAAGGCUGUCCCUAGUACGAGAGGACCGGGACGGACGAACCUCUGGUGUGCCAGUUGUCCCGCCAGGGGCAUGGCUGGUUGGCUACGUUCGGAAGGGAUAACCGCUGAAGGCAUCUAAGCGGGAAGCCUGUUCCAAGAUGAGGUCUCCCACCACCUUUGAGUGGUUAAGGCCCCCAGCUAGACCACUGGGUUGAUAGGCCAGAGAUGGAAGCCCGGUAACGGGUGGAGUUGACUGGUACUAAUAGGCCGAGGGCUUGUUACA
rfam:Actinokineospora spheciospongiae strain EG49 contig1267_0, whole genome shotgun sequence.